AGCGGUCACACAUCCAGGUACAGCGUGUUAUGGCCGUUAGCGGUCCCACAUCGAUGUACGAAUCGUACGACCAUCCAGCGUGCUAUGGCCGUU
rnacentral:misc_RNA from 1 species